UUAGAUUCUUUGUAAUUUGUUGACCUGUUUUUGUCUUCUGUGGACCAAGGCACAUUAACGAAUUUAAAUGAGCGCAUCUGCGGUGACGGCCACACAUUCUUUCGGUCUGAAGGUCAGACCUGCCGAAAGGAAACUUGAUGUUUUCCACUAGUUUAACCGAGCUUUCACCUGAGGAGAUAUCUGGAGAUCCGAUUCUAAGUCUUCCUUUCUUUUUGACCAAGAAGAGAGGAUUUCCCACUGAAGAGGCCUUAUUUCUAAUUUUGCCCAUUUGACUGCGGGAAUUGAUGAGGUUAGAUAUCCCAGAACACUGAUUACCUGUCUUAUAGAGGUAUCUCUUUUCUGUAAAUCGGACACUUUUUUUUCUGGAUUUUCUUUCUUUUCUCUGUAGUCAGAUGUAGAGAUAACAUUCUUGGGUAUAUCUCAAAUCCCAGGAAUUCUAUUUUUCUGAAGGAAGUAGAAUCAACUUCUUUAUGUUAAGUAUCCAACCGUGUUCCAGAAGCACUUGGAUUGUGAACCGAAC